UCUAUGGCAACACCUCCACGGAAAAAUGAUGGCGGCCACAGCAAGACGAGCGAUGACUAUUUUUUUUAAAUAUACACAAAUACAGCACUACGCACCCCAAAGCGCCCUUUGGCUCCCAGGACACAGGGCUGUGUUUAAGACAACAGCAUAGGAGCUCAUGACAAGACUAAUUAGGAGCACAAGGGGAGUAUGCAGGCUCAGGACCGAGAGUUUGACAAUGAAUUAAGACCUGGGGCUUUGGGAUACUGAAAUUUGUCAACAAAAUUAACAUUCCCUUUCCUGGAAACUCUCAAGCUGAAGGAGUUUACGAGGACCUUAUUUUAAGUGUCCAACUUGGAGGGAAUUAUCAGAGAGAGAGAGCGAGAGACGGUAAAAACAAACAGUAGCCGCCAUCAGCCCCUUCAACAGCACUGUAAACCUAGCCAAGGAUGGGUUCCCGCCCACUGCUUCUCACAGCCGUUCUCCUCUGAUGCCUUCGCAGAUCGGAAUUUGGGGAAGGAGUGGCCUCCAUGACCUCAACAUCAGAAGCCUAGAGGGUCUUUGUGGCUUAAAGGGCUGUGACACGUGAAGUACUGGCUGCCGAUUGUAGAGGAGAGAUUCCUGGGCAAGUGCAGAGUUAUAUAGAGUGCCCUUUCUACCUGACACACGAAAGAAAUGAGCUGUAACAGACGCCAGCGGCAGGUGCAGGACCUGUGAGCUUCACUCACUGUGCCCCAGUGUUUGGGUUCCUGCGCUUUGAACCGCCUUACUUUAAGAAGCCUUGUCAUUGGAAAAUUGACCGCAGCUGAUGGCUUCUGUCAUUUGUGCUGUUGUUUGGAGGGCAGGGCUCUGCGUCGCUUUGUCAGGCCGCACAGGGAAUGCGCCACCUCCGGCCCGCACUGUCUGCCUACCCAGACCCACAAGGCUCCUCAAAGCCUCCUCACCAAGGGCUGACUCUUUUGCCUUGUUCUUUCUUUUUCUUUCUGUUUAUUCUUUCAAAACAUGUACUCCUUUUAGGCAGUUGCGAGAACUUCUACAAUAAUCUGUGUUCUAAAUUUUAGGAGCCACAAUAAAAACCUCUCUUUUUU
rnacentral:lncRNA from 1 species